CCCCACACCCCCCCACACACGCGACCAUUGCUAUCUGCCUCUAAUAAGUAAUGAUAAAUGAUGGUUAAUUUUUUUUUACUUUUUGUGCGUUUUUUCCUUUUUUUUUUCAAAUACAAGUAUAGUUAGGAUAAAUUUUGGAGCAAAUUUGGAUGCUCAGAAUGCAGGAAAUGACAUUUCCGGGAUUCAAAUUUCAAAAAUGUUCUGGGGGAGUACACCC